rnacentral:lncRNA from 1 species
AGAAAUAGGUGCUUGGUAGAAUGAUUAGAAAAUAACUAGAAUAUUGGUAUUUUUUAAUUAAUAUUAGAAUAUAGUUAUUUUUAACUUAUUAUAAUAAAUAUAGAAGGAGAUUUUGUGAAGGAAAAUAAGAAAAAUAGAAAAUAAUAGUAUUAAUAUUAAUAUUAAAACAAUAUUAGAGUCAAGAUGGGAAUUUUGGUGAUUGAGGAAAUAAUUAGUAGGGUUUUAGGAGAA